rnacentral:rRNA from 1 species
CCUACGGGAGGCAGCAGUGGGGAAUAUUGCACAAUGGGCGCAAGCCUGAUGCAGCGACGCCGUGUGAGGGAUGGAGGCCUUCGGGUUGUGAACCUCUUUCGCCAGUGAAGCAGGCCUGCCCCUUGGUGGGUGGGUUGACGGUAGCUGGGUUAAGAAGCGCCGGCUAACUACGUGCCAGCAGCCGCGGUAAUACGUAGGGCGCGAGCGUUGUCCGGAAUUAUUGGGCGUAAAGGGCUUGUAGGCGGCUGGUCGCGUCUGUCGUGAAAUCCUCUGGCUCAACUGGGGGCUUGCGGUGGGUACGGGCCGGCUUGAGUGCGGUAGGGGAGGCUGGAACUCCUGGUGUAGCGGUGGAAUGCGCAGAUAUCAGGAAGAACACCGGUGGCGAAGGCGGGUCUCUGGGCCGUUACUGACGCUGAGGAGCGAAAGCGUGGGGAGCGAACAGGAUUAGAUACCCGUGUAGUC